AAGUUGAAGCAUGUAAAGUUCCGUCUCAAAAAUCAAAACAUUCCGUCAUAUCAGCUCAUUCAAGGAUGAUUAUAGCAUAUUAUUGUCCAAAUUGAAGCAACAGAUGAUACAAGAAACACCUAAGAUAACAGCUGGUGUUAUGGACAGCAUAAGGAAUAACUGCUCUAAUCUUCAACUUGAUGGAGGUGGUGGUGGAGGUGCAUUGGGUGGGGGAGG
rnacentral:misc_RNA from 1 species